ensembl:snoRNA
CGUCCCAUUUGACUACUAUUCUCUUCUAACAGACUGAGGUGGCUGUGCUUGUGGGACAGAUGAAAGAGCCACGACCUGAAAGGGGUGGUCUACUUAGUCCCUUCCCUCUAUAGGAACUGGCUGGACAGAAAAGG